UGGCGGCGUGCUUAACACAUGCAAGUCGAACGGUGAUGACCAGCUUGCUGGUCGGAUCAGUGGCGAACGGGUGAGUAACACGUGAGUAACCUGCCCCAGACUCUGGGAUAAGCCUUGGAAACGAGGUCUAAUACUGGAUAUGAGAUGCCCCUGCAUGGGGAGUGUCUGGAAAGAUUUAUCGGUCUGGGAUGGACUCGCGGCCUAUCAGCUUGUUGGUGGGGUAAUGGCCUACCAAGGCGACGACGGGUAGCCGGCCUGAGAGGGCGACCGGCCACACUGGGACUGAGACACGGCCCAGACUCCUACGGGAGGCAGCAGUGGGGAAUAUUGCACAAUGGGCGCAAGCCUGAUGCAGCGACGCCGCGUGAGGGAUGAAGGCCUUCGGGUUGUAAACCUCUUUCAGCAGGGAAGAAGCGCAAGUGACGGUACCUGCAGAAGAAGCGCCGGCUAACUACGUGCCAGCAGCCGCGGUAAUACGUAGGGCGCAAGCGUUGUCCGGAAUUAUUGGGCGUAAAGAGCUCGUAGGCGGUUUGUCGCGUCUGGUGUGAAAACUCAAGGCUCAACCUUGAGCUUGCAUCGGGUACGGGCAGACUAGAGUGCGGUAGGGGUGACUGGAAUUCCUGGUGUAGCGGUGGAAUGCGCAGAUAUCAGGAGGAACACCGAUGGCGAAGGCAGGUCACUGGGCCGCAACUGACGCUGAGGAGCGAAAGCAUGGGGAGCGAACAGGAUUAGAUACCCUGGUAGUCCAUGCCGUAAACGUUGGGCACUAGGUGUGGGGCUCAUUCCACGAGUUCCGUGCCGCAGCAAACGCA
rnacentral:rRNA from 1 species